GCGCCUAUAGCUCAGUUGGUAGAGCUCCAGACUUUUAAUCUGUUGGUCCUGGGUUCGAGUCCCAGUGGGCGCA
rnacentral:tRNA from 1 species